rnacentral:rRNA from 1 species
GGCGACGGCGUGCUAUACAUGCAAGUCGAGCGGACAGAUGGGAGCUUGCUACCCUGAUGUUAGCGGCGGACGGGUGAGUAACACGUGGGUAACCUGCCUGUAAGACUGGGAUAACUCCGGGAAACCGGGGCUAAUACCGGAUGGUUGUUUGAACCGCAUGGUUCAAACAUAAAAGGUGGCUUCGGCUACCACUUACAGAUGGACCCGCGGCGCAUUAGCUAGUUGGUGAGGUAACGGCUCACCAAGGCAACGAUGCGUAGCCGACCUGAGAGGGUGAUCGGCCACACUGGGACUGAGACACGGCCCAGACUCCUACGGGAGGCAGCAGUAGGGAAUCUUCCGCAAUGGACGAAAGUCUGACGGAGCAACGCCGCGUGAGUGAUGAAGGUUUUCGGAUCGUAAAGCUCUGUUGUUAGGGAAGAACAAGUACCGUUCGAAUAGGGCGGUACCUUGACGGUACCUAACCAGAAAGCCACGGCUAACUACGUGCCAGCAGCCGCGGUAAUACGUAGGUGGCAAGCGUUGUCCGGAAUUAUUGGGCGUAAAGGGCUCGCAGGCGGUUUCUUAAGUCUGAUGUGAAAGCCCCCGGCUCAACCGGGGAGGGUCAUUGGAAACUGGGGAACUUGAGUGCAGAAGAGGAGAGUGGAAUUCCACGUGUAGCGGUGAAAUGCGUAGAGAUGUGGAGGAACACCAGUGGCGAAGGCGACUCUCUGGUCUGUAACUGACGCUGAGGAGCGAAAGCGUGGGGAGCGAACAGGAUUAGAUACCCUGGUAGUCCACGCCGUAAACGAUGAGUGCUAAGUGUUAGGGGGUUUCCGCCCCUUAGUGCUGCAGCUAACGCAUUAAGCACUCCGCCUGGGGAGUACGGUCGCAAGACUGAAACUCAAAGGAAUUGACGGCGGCCCGCACAAGCGGUGGAGCAUGUGGUUUAAUUCGAAGCAACGCGAAGAACCUUACCAGGUCUUGACAUCCUCUGACAAUCCUAGAGAUAGGACGUCCCCUUCGCGGGCAGAGUGACAGGUGGUGCAUGGUUGUCGUCAGCUCGUGUCGUGAGAUGUUGGGUUAAGUCCCGCAACGAGCGCAACCCUUGAUCUUAGUUGCCAGCAUUCAGUUGGGCACUCUAAGGUGACUGCCGGUGACAACCCGAAGAAAGUGGGGAUGACU